AUCAUUUGCGCCGAUUCCUCUCUUCAUCUACCGCCACCGACCCUCCUCCUCCCCCUCUCGAAGUCCUUUUCUUCUCUGACGCCGGCGCCACAAGGGAACUGAUCGCCGAUGGCAGAGCAUCACCUUAUCUCCUCCACUGAUCGCCUGACGUUUACUGGUGGUUGCCCUUCUCUCCGGGUCGUUGUCGUACGAGUAGAGCUUCCACUAUGAAGGGGAAAGGUUGAGCCCUAGCCUGAGCUCUUCUCCUUUUUCCCUGAUCUCCCACCACAUCUUCCUCCACCUUUCUGCAUCAUCGCUGACAACCACACCCGAUGCUAUUGCCUCCUCUGCAUGAGGCCAGAUCGGUGAUGCCGUAGUCAUCGCUGUCGUGAGGGUGAGCCGUCGGACUCCUCUCGAUCUUGCCUGAGGUUGCCACCCCUUGGUUGUGUUCCAGCUCCUGAUCCACCGAUGCUGGGCUGAGCGCCACCUGAUACAGCCUCUGUUCGAUUGCCUCGACGCUUUUCUUCUCCGAUUAUCCUCUGCUUUUGGAUCAACCACCCUUCUUCCGGUAGCAGCUUCACAGUAGCUUUGAUAAUGAAUUUCCAGUAGCAGCUCCUUCAGCAAUGAAUUAAUAGGGAGCAUAUGAGGUUUAGGACGUUAUUUCGGGACGAGCGCUUCGACGUGGGGAUUGUUUAGCUCGAUCUACAUAUAAAGGUAGCAAGUAAAGGAUUUAUGGAGUCACCUUGAGAUCAUGUCCGUCAGUCCCAAGUCACAUCGAGCUUCUCCUUUCGUUGGUGUUUCCUUUCGCAUUUUUGGUCUUGUACUUGUUCUUGUAUUUGUGUAUUCUUUUAUAUGGAGUUUUGUUUUGUGGUAUCUUGUAUAUAUUUUGUGGAUGUUGUGUCAAGCCGAGCCGGCUCGCAGUUAGUUGUUUUGUUUCAUUUCAUGUUUGUUAUUUUAUGAUUUCCGCUGUGCUAUGUUUCAGCCGAGUGGGCUACAUUAUUAACUGUAUGGUUAUGCUA